CAAAAAGCGAGUUUAAAAAGUGAACAAAGAAGUUUUAAAAGAAGUAUUAAGAAAGUCAGAAAAAACGGGAGCAAAAAGGGGAGUGAAAAAGAGGAGCAAAAAAUCGAGCUGGUUGUGUUGCCACGCCCCGAGUUAACUGUUCGAUAUCAAAAAGCAAAACCGCUGAGAACCAACAGCCGCCUGGCCUCUUAGCGGCCCAUUAGUGUCUAUAAAAACAACAACACUCCAUUGCAACUAGCCAAAAACCAGACAGAAAAAGAAACGAUAGCAACAACAACAAUAGCCAAGAGUUGCACUAACUGCAUCCGACGUCGCUGCGCCAUCAGCUCAACCUCAGCUGUCAUUAGUUGACGUUUUAAUUGCGGCUUCGAUUUGCUGCUUUGCAAUUUGCAUUCAAACUCGGCAAGACAAUAGCCGCAAACUGUGUGCAACAACAA